GAUGAACGCUGGCGGCGUGCCUAAUACAUGCAAGUCGAGCGAACGGACGAGAAGCUUGCUUCUCUGAUGUUAGCGGCGGACGGGUGAGUAACACGUGGAUAACCUACCUAUAAGACUGGGAUAACUUCGGGAAACCGGAGCUAAUACCGGAUAAUAUUUUGAACCGCAUGGUUCAAAAGUGAAAGACGGUCUUGCUGUCACUUAUAGAUGGAUCCGCGCUGCAUUAGCUAGUUGGUAAGGUAACGGCUUACCAAGGCAACGAUGCAUAGCCGACCUGAGAGGGGGAUAGGCCACACUGGAAGUGAGACGAGGUCAAGACUCCUACGGGAGGCAGCAGUAGGGAAUCUUACGCAGUGGGCGAGAGCCUGACGGAGCAACGCCGCGUGAGUGAUGAAGGUCUUCGGAUCGUAAAACUCUGUUAUUAGGGAAGAACAUAUGUGUAAGUAACUGUGCACAUCUUGACGGUACCUAAUCAGAAAGCCACGGCUAACUACGUG
rnacentral:rRNA from 1 species